AGUGAACGCUGGCGGUAGGCCUAACACAUGCAAGUCGAACGGCAGCACAGUAAGAGCUUGCUCUUACGGGUGGCGAGUGGCGGACGGGUGAGGAAUACAUCGGAAUCUACUUUUUCGUGGGGGAUAACGUAGGGAAACUUACGCUAAUACCGCAUACGACCUACGGGUGAAAGCAGGGGAUCUUCGGACCUUGCGCGAUUGAAUGAGCCGAUGUCGGAUUAGCUAGUUGGCGGGGUAAAGGCCCACCAAGGCGACGAUCCGUAGCUGAUCUGAGAGGAUGAUCAGCCACACUGGAACUAAGACACGGUCCAGACUCCUACGGGAGGCAGCAGUGGGGAAUAUUGGACAAAGGGCGCAAGCCUGAUCCAGCCAUACCGCGUGGGUGAAGAAGGCCUUCGGGUUGUAAAGCCCUUUUGUUGGGAAAGAAAAGCAGCAGGUUAAUACCCCGCUGUUCUGACGGUACCCAAAGAAUAAGCACCGGCUAACUUCGUG
rnacentral:rRNA from 1 species